rnacentral:rRNA from 1 species
CAGCCGCCGCGGUAAUACGUAGGUGGCAAGCGUUGUCCGGAAUUAUUGGGCGUAAAGCGCGCGCAGGUGGUCUAAUAAGUCUGAUGUGAAAGCCCACGGCUCAACCGUGGAGGGUCAUUGGAAACUGUUAAACUUGAGUGCGGGAGAGAAAAGUGGAAUUCCCAGUGUAGCGGUGAGAUGCGUAGAGAUUAGGAGGAACACCAGUGGCGAAGGCGGCUUUUUGGCCUGUAACUGACACUGAGGCGUGAAAGCGUGGGGAGCAAACAGGAUUAGAUACCCGCGUAGUCCCUGUCUCUUAUAA